GUUUUUCUUCCCAGUAUAUCCCCAACAUUUAACAACAGGUUAAUACUUAAAUAUAGUAGAUUCUCAAUAAAUAUGUGUUGAUUAAAUAAAUAAACCAAUUUAAUUCAAGACAAGUAAACGGACACUUUCAAGGAAGCAUUUUAAAGCUAUAGGGGAGAGAAAAGUGGCCUGGGAACUCAAAUAUGCGGCCCUCACCCCUACUAGGGAAGCAGAAGGAGGGAGCAUCCCGUCCAAAGCUUCCCAAGCGGCGCCGGACUGCGUGCUGCGGCUGUGGGGGUAGAAGUCUUCAGAUAAAAGAUGGGGAAAACAGACCAAAGCAAGUCUCGCUGGCCAGUGACACUCCAGGAGCAUGGCCCAUGGAAGGAUCCAAGGCUGAGGGAUCUGGGGUAGCCCCACAGAGAUACUCUGCCAAAAUCCAGUCACGAGAAGGAGGGAGGAGGCGAGGAACGAAAAUGAGAUUUGGUUUAGGCCGGAAGAACGGGCUGCGCCAACAACGAGAAAAUAAAGUGGCGAGCUGGGAAGGGUGUAGCGCGGGCUAGAAGGGCGGGAAACUUGAGAACCACGGGCGCGGGAGCCUGGCGGGGACGCAAGCCCGGAACUGGCGGAGGGGUGGGCAGGCGCAUGCGCGCGCGCAGCUGAAACGCCGGCUGAUGAAACUGACAAAGGCGAGAGCGCGCAGCAGCCCACAGCAGCCGAGUUCGCGCCGCCGGUAGGUGCUGCCAUGCCAGGGGGCGGGAUCGUGGAGCGCCUCGCAGAACCGCACGAAAGCAAAAACAAAGCCAUCUCUCCGGAGCAGAAAUAGAACAGACGUGGCCGGGGAAAGCCAAAUAUUUGUGGCUGGACUCAGACACAUCACGCUCCAGUUUGGGUUCCAAGGUGCUUCUCUCUGGAUUUUCACCUGCCUUGCCAAAAAUGAUUGAUUACGCUGGGCCAACUGGGUGUCCGGCAAUACCCAACAAAUGACUUUGGCCCCUAACAGCAGGUCUUGGCCAGACAGAAAUCAAUAUUUCACCAUUAAAAUCUAUCAAAGAAGAGUUAAGGCACCAUCUGUCCCUGCCGCCUCUCUAUGGUGUGUGAACAUUAAAUCCGACACUUGUACUACAUGGGUAAUCAAUAUAUAGUGGUUCACAGAUCAUUUGUGGUUCCCUUUUAGCAGUGAUGGAUGUCUGGAAUCGUUGUGAUUCAUUUUGUCAGACCAUUAAACAAGAUUCUGUCCAGUU
rnacentral:lncRNA from 1 species